rnacentral:rRNA from 1 species
GAUGAACGCUGGCGGCGUGCCUAAUACAUGCAAGUCGAGCGAACAGACGAGGAGCUUGCUCCUCUGACGUUAGCGGCGGACGGGUGAGUAACACGUGGAUAACCUACCUAUAAGACUGGGAUAACUUCGGGGAACCGGAGCUAAUACCGGAUAAUAUAUUGAACCGCAUGGUUCAAUAGUGAAAUACGGUUUUGCUUUGACUUAUAGAUGGAUCCGGGCCGGAUUAGUUUGUUGGUAAGGUAAAGGCUUACCCAGGCAAGUAGGCUUAGCCGACCUGAGAGGGACGUCGGCCACCCUGGACGUGAGACAGGGUCCAGACUCCGGCGGUGGGACGCAGUCGGGACUCUUCCGCGAUGGGCGAGAGCCUAACGGAGCAAAGCCGCGUGAGUGCUGAAGGUCUUCGGAUCGUAGAGCUCUGUUAUUAGGGAAGAACAAAUGUGUAAGUAACUAUGAUCGUAUUGACGGUACCUAAUCAGAAAGCCCCGGCUAACUACGUG